rnacentral:rRNA from 1 species
AGGAUGAACGCUAGCGACAGGCUAACACAUGCAAGUCGAGGGGUAACAGGGUAGCAAUACCGCUGACGACCGGCGCACGGGUGAGUAACGCGUACGCAACCUGCCUAUAACUAGGGGAAUAGCUCCCUGAAAGGGGAAUUAACACCGCAUAACACUAUUGAUUCGCAUGGAUUGGUAGUUAAAUGUAGCGAUACUGGUUAUAGAUGGGCAUGCGUGACAUUAGCUAGUUGGUGAGGUAACGGCUCACCAAGGCUACGAUGUCUAGGGGUUCAGAGAGGAAGGUCCCCCCACACUGGUACUGAGACACGGACCAGACUCCUACGGGAGGCAGCAGUGAGGAAUAUUGGUCAAUGGGCGCAAGCCUGAACCAGCCAUGUCGCGUGCAGGAAGACUGCCCUAUGGGUUGUAAACUGCUUUUAUAGUAGAAGAAACACAUCUACGCGUAGAUGUCUGCCAGUAUACUAUGAAUAAGCAUCGGCUAACUCCGUGCCAGCCGCAGC